UCCCCUCCGGGACCAGCACCCCGCAGGCCAACCGCUGUUCCCCCUCUUGCGGACACUCCUGGUUCCUCUAACCUCUGGACUCUCUUCCCAGUAACUAACCUCUUACUGGACCUCCUCCCCGGGAGCCUAGGCUGCGCACCCUCUGGGUGUUUGAGGUCCUCUCCCCAGAACCCCAGACCUCCCACUCUCUCGGAUCCCACCUCCUUUACCACUGAACGUGGCCACGGGAGUCCAACUACCUACCCGGACUGUUCCCUCCGCCAACUCUGGCGCUAGCCGGGUGAGGGAUUGGGUUGGAUAGCUGCAGGACAACAGGGGCGGUGAGGGGCAGAAAUUAUAGAGCCCCCGUGGGCACCUGGGCCUCGAACCAGAGGCCAUUUAGGACUGCUUGACCUGGUGGAGGUGGCCUGGCUGGCGACUCUUGAGAGGGGGAGGGGGCGUCCCCUUCCCGGGCGUGGCCUUUCGCAGACCAACGGGCCGAACUGCCUGGGGCGAGGCCGUGGAGACCCGGACUGGCGCCAGCGCCGGCUCGAAGGAGACGCCUCCGGGCAGGAGGAGGCUUUUUUUUUUUUUUCCCCUCUCCUCUUGGGGUGGGGGGGAGUCCUUAAGGCGGCCCCUGGAGAGAUGGAGAUGGUGGUCUGAGAACUCCAUUCCCUAAGUCACCUGGAACUGCUCUCCACAAGCCUCCAGCCCAGAGAUCCAGCUCUGGGUGAAGUGGGCCGGCUGCACUAAUCUCUUUGCUCUCUCCCAUUGUACAGACGGAGGACACCGAGGCUCGAAGGGAGCCUUUAGCCCAGGAGGGGUGUUAGAAACAAAAAAAUUUGGGGGCACUGAGACAGGUGCGGGGGUGGGGCGGUGACAGGGAGUAAUCGACAUCCUCCAGCCCUCUCCCCUCGGGUCCACUGCUCUCGGGAUAGAAGCCCAGAGGGAUCCUGGAUGGGUCCGAAGCAGGAGGAAGGGCAGGGGUCCUGGCCACCCCAGGGACGGUGGGGGGAGGGGCAGCAGGAUUGACAGUCGGUAAUUGGGUAACUGGAGGCGGCUUCUCCGGCCGGGCAGCCCCGCCACCGCGACGCCGGGCCCCUGACGUCACCCGAUUCGCCAGGAAAUGAACUUUUUAAUAAUCCGAGGAGGGAGGAAAGCCCUCGGUCCCCUCAGCUCGGGGGGCACCCGGCCAGGCCCAGCUCCGCCUGCGCGCCCCGGUCACCCUCUCCCAAGGCCAGCUCUGGGCAGUGGCCGGGGUUGGGGGCCUCCUCCUGCCUCUGCGACCGGCUAUCUGUUCGUCUGUCUGAGGCCCCGGCUCAGGUAAAGGCACGGGGCCGGGGACGCAGAGCCCCAGUCAGCUGGGAAUCCGCGGGUCUCCGGCCCUUGGGGACUCGUUUGCCCUGGCCGCCCGCUGCGCCUCCCACCACGCUCCACUCCAGGGCGCGCGGGGCCCGGGUUUCUCGGAACUCCGCUCCUUGGGAGAAGAGGCCGGACGCCUGCCCGGUAAGGCGCAGCGGGGCCGGGAACCGGAGCUCGAGACCGAGGCGCCCGGCCUCGGCAGCUGGACUGGGCAGCUUACAAUUCAUCAACGCAUAAAAGGCGGUCGCCACGAAGCCUCCAGCCUCUUUUGCCGCCGCGGAGCCCAGCAGGAGCUUCCCAAAGACAACGCGUCCCCAAGGACAAUCCCCCGUGUCCGGCAAGUCUGUCCUGCUGGAGCCCAAACCCCAGGACUCAGCGCAGGAGGGCCCCCGACCCGCUGGCCGGCCGCGAGGCGGUGAGCGCCGGAGCCGAGCGGAAGCUUUCCGCCAGGCUGCGAUCGGCGCCUCGGCUCGCAGGGAGGUGGCCGUUCCCAGCCCUUGGGAAAACAGGUUCUAACCGCCACCGCCAAGCCCGACAGACAGGGGCCCUGCUGAGACCUGCAGACAAUCCGGCUGCGUUUCACCCUCCUCCACGAACUGCCACGGUUUGCCCAGAAGCCCGCCGGCCCCGCGGCCCGGCAGCAUGACAACUGGUAAAUCGUUUCGUUAGACGCAAUUUGUUUGCAAUUUGUCAUCCCGGCUGGGAAACGCUCUCCAGACGCCUGGGCAGCCGCAAUGGCCCUACCUGCUUCUCCAAUCUUGCCUACUCACGAAGGAAGCCCAGCCUGAGGUGCCUGCGUAGACCCAGAGCUUUCUGCCAGAUGUCCCGAGAGAGACGUGGCUUUUUCCAAAACAACGAAUUUCCUUCCGUGUUUUCCGGGAAAGGAGCGGUCGCUACAUCCGGGGGCCCUGAACGUCAGACCUUUUCCCUCACAGUUGGGGCAACCUGGAGUUCAAGCCUGGCCGCCGCCAAAGGAUUCUAAAUGCCCUGGGUCCAGACAGACCCAGACCGCCGCCGUCGGCGCCUCCCGGCGGCGAUCCCCGCGCCCGCGACGGCUCCAUUCUUAUUGAAAUCCCACUAAAAGGAUUCCGACUCUGGGGCAGGGGGGAGACUUCCAGACCUUGUGCUCUCCCCCACCCGCACCCCAGUCACACAGGAUAAAGGGCGGCGGGGCGCGGCGCGCGGGGGCGCACGCAGGAGCGCGCCGGGUUAAGCCGCGCAAAGCCGGCGCACGGGACCAGCCGGCAGGUGCAGCCGCCGAUCGGCGGCCCGGCUCGGGCGCAUCGCCGCCGAGGCCCGAAGGUGGGGGGCGGCCGAGACAAAGGGCCCAGCUCUGGGGCUGGGAGGCGGCGGCGGGGCGGGGGGAGCUUUGCGUCUCUUGAAAUAACCGUGGCUCGCGGCCUGUGGCUCCGUCCGAGAAAUGGGAAGGCGGGAGGCUCGAGGCGGGCCUGUGGUCCCCAAUUCCCCAAACACUCCCUCUGACCUGGGGUUCCAGCCGCCGGUAGGGCCAGGGCGAGCCCUAAAGGCCGCAUGUCAGGGACCACUGUUCCAGGCGCACCGCGUGACUAGGGAGCCAGGUGGACCGGCCUGGGAGCUGGAAAGGCCCUGGCGAGGCGGAGAAGGGGCGACUUACCGAGCGAGUUGCAGCGGGCGGCGCCCCCGGGCGGACUGAGCUGGGGCGGAGCGGGGAGUACAGCGAGAUGCCUGGCGAGAGGGACCCACAGGACCCCGCGCGGGUUGACGGCGUUCACCAGCAGGGCCCGGGAGGCACGCCGAGCGGCCUCAUGGUGGUCAGAGUGCCGCUUUUGUUCGCCGGGUGGACAACGGGGGCUGACUGGGGUGGGGGCGAUGGCAGCCAGGAGAUAGAGACUUCAGCGGCAAGUCGGGCGGCAGCGUUUGGCCCUGCCACCUCCCUCCUGCUGCCUCUCCCUCCCCUCCGGCUGCAGCGGCUCUGCUUUUAUUUCGACAGCACUUUGAGGGGGCGGGAGCGCCGCAGGGGGGCAGGAGGGUGCCCGGGGCUCUGCGCCCGGUCUCCCUAGUCCAGCCGCCGGGCGGCGGGCCGAGGGCCGGUAGGAACUCUGGGCGCACACACCCUACUCGCCUCUACACACGCAUCCCUGCUGUUAGGGAUGCGCGCUCAGAAUGCCCGGGCGUCUCUCCGGAGACUCUCUCCCUGAGGACCUCGAGAGCCGUGGGCACACACGCUCACACACAAACGCCCGCCCCUCUUCUACUAACCUGCCUGCGGGAGUGCUCACACAGCCGCACACAUAUCUGUGUACACACAUCAGCACUACAGCUGUGGCCGUGUGGGCAUCCUCUGGAGUUCUGGGUCACACAAACAUACCUGCACACACUCAAAGGUAGCCUGACCCUCUGGCGCACGCCCAUACAAACACACACACAUACAGCUCCCCAAUUUACAGGCUGAUUUGGCUAGUGUAGACAAAGCCCCCUUCCUUCCCCACCCAAGCUCCCCAACUCAAGAGUAUACCAGAGCACUUGAAAAGUGGAGUUUGAGGUAUCUCUCCGCCCGCCCCAAAGGAACACUCAUGUGGGAGGGAAGAAGGGAGUGAAGGGCUUGUCCUUGGAAGGCUGGGUGGAGGAACUGGGGUAUGGGAGUCUUCACCCCAAGAAACUUCUGGUUUGGGGAGCUAGGGAAGUCCUUGAACUUCCAAAAUUCCUACCGGGAGAUUCGGUUCAACCUGGCAGCUGGAGUCCCAUUCCACUUGCCCAGGGAGUGAGAGUGCCUUGGGGACCUUGGGCCCAAACAGAAAGUUCUUAGGGGCUCAGGUGCACUCAGAGAGGAGGUGCAUUGGUCUGCCAGCUCUGUGGGCACCUGCUGCUUGUGGGUCUGUCUUUGAAGCUGGUGGUGACUGCUGCCUGUUCACAGACUGUGCUGAGUGCCGGUGUGUGUCUGUGCAUCUGUGGGCACAUGGGAGGUCUGCAAACUAAGUCUGUUAGCAUGUCCAUUUCUUCUUAUGAGUUCCCGAAAUUUGUGCAUCGUGUGUGUGAUGGUUUCAGAAUAUAUCUGUGGAAGUGGAUGUGUGCCCCUGUGGCUGUGCAUCUGUGAGAUCAUUGUGUCCACAAAUCCUAUGAUGGGAAGUGGGUAUUUCCAAGUGUUUGGCUAUAAAUUGGUGUGUGACUCUGUGUGGGUCAGUAGUAGCAUUUUGCUGGAUAUCCUGUGUCAAUGAAUUGGGGGGUUGUCUGCCUGUCUAUCUGUAACGGGGGGAGGGUGUUGAGAGGGUAUCUAAGGGUGUCUGCCUAUCUGUGUGUAGCUCCGUGAACAAAUUGAUGCGUGUGGGAUGUUUGUGUAUCUGGGGCGUGGGCAUCUGUGGAUAUGAAUGUAUCUUUGAAUUAUGUGUUUCUCUACCCAAUGUUACUCUGUGUCUAUGGUCUGUGUUGGAGCAUGUCCCUGGGUGACACAGUACGUGUGUCUUCCCAGUUUGCCCGUCAUCCACACCUUUCCUAACCAUCAGGGCAGGCAGCCAGUGGAGCUCCGGGGUGCCAUUUGUGAGGGCACUUUCUGUCUGUCUGUGGGAGGGGGAGAUGAGCUGAUAAGGCUUAUCUGCCUAAGCCAGCGCCAUGCUGAAUAACUGCUCUAAUGAGGUGGCCUCACUGGGACCAUCCGCUCCCAAGGCCCCCAGUCUCCUGGGAGGGGGCAGGGGAGCCAAUUCUGGGGCACAGGAGCACACCCCCAAAAGCCUAGCAGGGGCUGUGUCUGUGGGGCCUUUCCUAGUUCUGCCCUGUUUCCUUGGAGAGAGGUUCCAGGUCUUACACUCCACACCCCACUCACCAUCCUCCUGCUGGGGUGAGCUGGCCAGAGCCAGCUGGAGCCUUCCAGCCUCUGGUCAACAGUCAGGAAGACUUGAGAGGGCAGGAGAUGUGGGGCCCUCUGGGGACAGUGGGGGUGGGGGGAGAGACAUGGAUAUUCUAUGAUGGAAAGACCCAGAGAGAUGGGUAAGGUGGAAGAGACAGGGAGAGGCAAGGGCAGACUUUAUAAAGCAACAGCGAUAGAAGGACAGGGGUUGGCGGUGGAGGGGUGGGCUGGGACGUUCAGGGACAGAGAAAAACAACUAAAAAUUGGCAGAAAGGGUCAGGGAGAUGGGAGCACAAGCAGUUAAAAUGUUAACUAGAGAGAGUCAGGGACAGAGCCAAGAGAGAUACAGAGAGGAGAAAGCAAGAAAUGACAAAAAUAAAGAUGGGAAGAGAGAAGAGAAUCCAGAGGGGCUCAAAGCCCUUGGUGGGGGGAGAGAGAGGGACACGAAAGAUGUACCGGACAGACUGAAGCAGAGGGGCAACCAGGGGCUCCGCACCUCCCAGCGCCACGGGAUCACGCAGGGCGGCGGGUCCGGCGGGCGCGAGCGCGGAGCCCGCGGGCCGGGCGGGGCACCGAGGCGCGGGCGGCGGCGGCGGGCAGGGGGGUCCGCGCGGGGCUAUGCCGCUGUCCGGGGUAAUUUUUCAUCUCGGCCGGCUAAUCUUUGUUCCCGGCGAAGAUAAUGAAUAGCCAAUCGUUAUCUGCCCGGCUCCCGGAGGCUGCCCGAGAAUGGGGUUGUACAGGGCUGGGAAUUGUUUCCAAAGUGCCGCGGAAUAAAUGGUGUUCCUUAUCUCUGCCUUCCAGAUUAUCGGAGCCCUUUCAGAGAGCGCACAACAAAUGCGCCCGCCAUCGAAUGCAUCAUUUACCACCGCAGAUCCGAGCGGUGAUGGGCAGGCAGAUAGCCGUCCGCGGGGGGCACUCGGGCGUCCGACCGCCUGCCUGCUGGGGGCACCCAAGUAUGCGGCCCAGGGUGUGCCUGGCCUAUUUGGAUGGACAGGCGGGUGUGCCAGUGGAUGAGCACUGAACAAGCAAGGGUGCAGUGCGUGGGGGCACGUCAAACAAGUGUGAGACAAGAGUGCCUGGGGAUGGACCUGGUAAGGCUGUUUGGCCGUGCACAGAGGAAGGGGUGUUACACGUGAAUGUAAGAAGGAGCAGGUGUCCAGGUCCAUAUGUCCAAGUAUGGUGGCUGUGGUGCUGUGAGCACCUCCAUGCGUCUGCCCUCCAAAGGCCAUCUAGGAGUGCACACAGGAGGUGAUGUUGCCUUCCACCAGGGCUGGUGUGUGUGUGCGUGACUUCAAGAAUGAGUGUGUUACUCUCCUGAGUGUCCUGUGCCUGCAGGUGCUCGGGGCCACGAAUCCUCAUAGGCAUGUCCAUACAUGCACCCCUGCGACUGCCAGAAGUGAGUGUGCACCCAGCAUGUGCCUCAGGGUAUGCAUAGAUUUACAUGAGGGUGGCUGUGUCAUUCUGUAUCUAUCUGCCCAGAUGUGCUCUGGGCGAGGGGGAAAGAGGGGCAAGGGAUCAGAGGCCUGUCUCUGUGCCUGCUUGUGCCUGGGUCCCCCUCUAGCUUGCAAAGAGACAGCCAGAGGAACAGAAUGGUGUGUGCAGGUGUGAUAAGACGCUGAGGUGGAAGGAGUGGGAUGUGCUGCGUCACAUGAGUGCUUGUGACCCAAACAGGGUGUGCGGGUGUGUAAGAAAGAGGGGUCUUCCGACGAGUUUGGCAACACCAAAGAAUCCCAACCUAGCUCAGAGGGCACGAGUUCCCAGGGGCCCCAGAGCCUCCUCGCUCUAGACCUAAGGUAAGGGAGACCGAAGUCCCGAAGCCAGAGUGAGUCCCCGCGCGGUGAGUGACACGCACCGCCGACAAAGGCUGUGUAUUUUUCCGGGCUUGUGCGUGUCUGCGCGCGCGCGCACGCGGGCGCGCGAUGGUCCCCAUGGCGACGCAGAUAGCGCUGCAGCCAUUUUCCCUAUCUCUCGGGAGUCUAUUAUACCGCGGGAUUAGCUCAUCUCCAGGCAGGUCAAACCCAAAGUCACACAACCUGCGGCGCGGGCCCCGCCCCCCUCCCCAGCGCGGGCGGGAUCUCAGCUCCGCGACGCCCCCGAGCGGCGGCCGGUGCGCAGGCGCAGAGCGCCACCUGGCGGCCUCGGGCCUCCGACUGGGGUCUCGCGGAGCCGGCCGCGGCCAGGGCAGGAGUCGCUUGGGCAGAAGUGGGCCGGUCCCUUCUCAGAGGAGCUGGGCUCUCCAGAUAGGGGGCCUUGUUCUGACACUGCUGUGUCCCCAGGGCCAGGCUGUCACUCAGUAGAUGUUCCGUAAGAGUUUGUUGAAAGGAUGGAUGGAUCGGCAGUAAAUUAUAGAUGCGGCAAAUUGUCAAUGGCCACGCAGCUUAUUUGGCAGCGAGAAAUCAUUUCUUAAAACGUACUCUCUGAACUUAGAAUAAAAGCCAACUUCCUUUGGAA